GCUUCUCUGUCCCCGGAGCGACUGUUGCGCCAGAACGGAGCAAGCUUCUCUGAUGGAAGAAGUGAUAAGUCUUCAAGGCAAAAGGAAGAAUUGAUUGCACUUGUUAAAACCUCUGCUGCCUUUCUUUGAAACAAGCAUGAUUGGAUUUAGUGCAAAUUUCGGUCGUGGCCAGAAGGAAUGCUGGAAUUACUGGAUAUAUCAUGACAACUAUGUAUAUACAAUGAACAUUCAAAUAAAUGCCUGCUCCAGGAAACAGACUUUCAGGACAGUGGGAUUCUCCCAU